UACCGGGUAAAGCCUAACCUGCAGACUGCGAUCCUUCUUGCUGUACCUCCACUGUGCUUGGUAUUUCAAAAAUCUACGCCCGCCGACCUCUGCUACUAAAUACCUGGACAAAGAGCCGUGAAUCACAUGCUAAGAAGCCAUUAGGGUGGGGGCAGCUGGAUACAGAGCCCGGAGGUUUGAGCCAGUGCCGGCUUGUCACCCUCGUUCUCUGUUUACCCUGCUGCGGCGGCAGCCAAAGUGCAGCCUGGUGCUGAAGUCACCAGCCAGGGAGGGCCUCUCGUGCCCCGUCUCACUUCACCAUGUGCUCUGGGUACCUCUGCUUUAGAGCACUGGCCUGUGCUUGGAGGCAAGAAGAAAAAUUAGCUUAACGACACUUGAACACGGGGCAGAUUGCAUAAGUGCCCCAGGUCUGCAUCCCUGUCUGCGUCACUACCCUCUGCCACGGGACUUCGCAGUUCUUUCUACCAAGAGAUGAUCCACUGAUUCGACUGGGGCAUCUGCUCUGGGUGUUGGUAGAUGGGAUACCAGCAGAGGCUUGGAAGCGUGCUUGCAUCACUGGACUUCUUCUCUUGCCCCUUUACUGUUUCCAUGAGAAGAGCACGCCUGGGCUGGCCCAGGGCCCUAGGAUGGGAAUAAGAGAUACGUGAGGCAGAGCUGCCCCCAGGAAGCUGCCCAGCCCAGCCCAGCUGACAACAGAACCAUCCAGCUGACCCAGAGAUGCAUAACAAACCCAGCCACGAUCGAUCGGCAGGUCUGCCUAGCCAACCUUCACCUGAACUGCAGGUGCAGGAGCCGGAGUAGGAAGUGAUUGGUGUGUUCAGCCUCUGAAUUUUGAGGUGGUUUGCUCCCCAGCAAUUGCGUUGAGAUCAUGGCCUCUGAGACAAAUAUGAUCAUGAUAUGAGCAACGAGAAACAAAAGCACUUUGCAAAUGUCAAAUUGUGAGGAGAGGGAAUAGACUGUUGAACACAUUCUGGACCUGGAACCUGAAGACCUGAGUUCAAAGCCACUCAUGCCCCCAAUUACUCUAUACACUUGGGCAGAUAAUUUAAAAUUUCUGGGUCUUACCAUAAACUUACAGAGCUGGCUUGCAAACUCAAAGCCAUGAGAGCUUCGAGAGCAUGUCAGAAAAUUAAUAUGGUCCUAGAACUUCAUUGGUAGAGUUAAGAAAAAGACAGGGAAGGUGGGAGAGGGGUCAGAGAAUAAUUCAUUUGGGUAUAAAUGAAAUGUGAUAGCCCCCAAAAGGACAGAUACAUGGAGUGGGGAAUUGGAUGAUUUUGAAGAAUAUGUUUGAUCAAAGGCUGAGAGGUAGACUUGGAGGCCAGAUAUAAAGCCCCAUUUCUUCAGAGACCUGAGAGUGUGGAAUUCAUGAAUGAAUAGGUAGGAGAAAACCUUGAAAAUGGCUUACAGAAGGCACCUUCCCGACAUCUCUUCACUUGGAGUACAGCAAAGCCGGAGACAAUUAUGAAGUCUUUGGUCAGGUGGAGAGAUAAUAGUCCAGACUGGCAGUUCAAUACACCUGUCUGGCUCUCUCUGAGCUACCGUUGACUUUUCUUGGUUGUGUAUUACCUGGCCUUCGACAAGUCGCCUAUCCUGUGGACAAGUGGAUGAAACACGGUUCAUCUAUUCAUUAUGUAUCGGUUACAUGCCACAUUCCAGGAACUAUCUGGACCCUGGGGAUGAAACAGUCUUCAGACCUGGUUCCCGAGUUGGCUACCAACUCAGGAUAUUGGAAAUAACCUAAAUGACCAUCACUAGGGAACAGUUAAAUAAAUUAUGGUACCUCCUUAGGAUGAAAUAGCAUGCAACUAUGAAGAAGAAAGGAAAAUAGGAAGAGAAGAAGAGGAGGAGGAGGAGGAAGAGGCUCCUCAUGCAUUCACAUGGAGUAUUUCCAAGGUGUCCUGUUCAUGAAGAUGGUAGGAUAAUGCCCAGGGGAGAAAGGGAGUCUCUGGGAUUCCAGAAGGAGGUCACUAUGACUUACUGGCUCAGGCAGUAAGUUCCUGCUUCCUCUGUGCCAACACUUACUGACUAUGUAUUAUGUGGAAGGUGCUCGGGUAUGUUUUAUAGAAUGUCUACAAUGAUACGAGAGAAGGCCCUCUACCUACUACAGUCUAGUUGGGGUUGUACAUAGUCUUUAUAUAUAAAGAUUAAACCCAUCACAUGAUCAGUGAAUGAAUGUGGAAUCAGCUUGAGGUUGGGAUGAGGACAAAGUUUGAGCUUCAGGGGAUCGGGAGCCUUCAGAAGAAUUUCACUUGAGUUAGAGAAGGGUUUAAACAGAAGGAUUGUGGGAGCCAGGCAGGGCCUGCCAGGCGGGCCUCUCUUCGCAAAAACUGAAUUUAGAACGAGCAAGGUGAAGUUGGGGGCAAAUAGGACCACUUUGGCUGGAGACGGGGAGACGAGCUUAUAGAGCAACUCAGUGAUAAGAGCAGAAUGGUAGGUUGGAGCAAUACUGAAGAGGACCUGGGACGCCAAGAUAAAGAUCUGGAAUUUUGUUCAGGCAUGUGAACCAGGGGCAACAUGCACAAAGCAAUGAUUUGGAAGUGUAAUCUGGCCACCCUGUGCCAAGUGGUUAGCAGCGGAGGAGGUCUGAGGUUAGGAGACGCCUGAACACCUCAACAGAAGUCCAGGGACCAGGUGCAGAGGCCCAAGCUAGGUCGGUGGCUGGGAAAGUAGAAAAAGAGAGAGAGAGAGAGACACUAAGGCUUUAUUUCUCAGCCUACCCUGCCUGGACAUGACUAUGCAUUCUCCGGACAAGUCAUAAUUAUCUUGGGUUUUAUUAUCUUGGGUUUUACAGGUGUAUGACAUUGCUGUUGUGCAAGUACAUGGGGGCCAAAGAACCUCAUCCAGUUGUGUCUCUGGCUGUUUGUCUGCAGAUGGUUCCAGACUGAAAACUGGUGUGAAAUAUGCUUCCCACACAUUCAGAGCUGCACCCAGCCUGCUUCUGUGCCCACAGAGAAAUCACAAAUGGAAGUCCCCUUCCUGAAAGCAAAUGCUAACGGCCACAUCCAGAAAGUCACGGUGAGCAUCGUCUUUUCCUUACCUAUGUUCCAGGAUGGGGAUGCUGGCCAGGCUUUCCCACCUCAACUUCAGGGCAAGGGGUCUGACAAGGAGCCAUCCAUGUUCUCCGUGUGUCCACCUGAAAGCAUCCCCCCUGCCUCCUGUCUGUCGUCACCGCAUACCUCGGAGGGCAUGCGGGUUCGGUGUGGGGCCACCACAGGAAAGCCAAUAACCAC